rnacentral:rRNA from 1 species
AUACGGAGGAUCCGAGCGUUAUCCGGAUUUAUUGGGUUUAAAGGGUGCGCAGGCGGCCAUUUAAGUCAGCGGUUAAAUCGUGGGGCUCAACCCCAUUCUGCCGUUGAUACUGGGUGGCUUGAUUGCGGUCGAGGUUGGCGGAAUUCGUUGUGUAGCGGUGAAAUGCAUAGAUAUGACAAAGAACACCGAUUGCGUAGGCAGCUGACCAGACCGCAAAUGACGCUCAUGCACGAAAGUGCGGGGAUCGAACAGGAUUAGAUACCCUGGUAGUCCGCACAGUAAACGAUGAAUACUUGUUUUCGGCGAUAUAAUGUCGGAGGCAAAGCGAAAGCGAUAAGUAUUCCACCUGGGGAGUACGCCGGCAACGGUGAAACUCAAAGGAAUUGACGGGG